GAUGAACGCUGGCGGCGUGCCUAAUACAUGCAAGUCGAGCGAACGGACGAGAAGCUUGCUUCUCUGAUGUUAGCGGCGGACGGGUGAGUAACACGUGGAUAACCUACCUAUAAGACUGGGAGAACUUCGGGAAACCGGAGCUAAUACCGGAUGAUAUUUUGAACCGCAUGGUUCAAAAGUGAAAGACGGUCUUGCUGUCACUUAUAGAUGGAUCCGCGCUGCAUUAGCUAGUUGGUAAGGUAACGGCUUACCAAGGCAACGAUGCAUAGCCGACCUGAGAGGGUGAUCGGCCACACUGGAACGGAGACAAGGUCCAGACUCCUACGGGAGGCAGCAGUAGGGAAUCUUACGCAAUGGGCGAAAGCCUGACGGAGCAACGCCGCGUGAGUGAUGAAGGUCUUCGGAUCGUAAAGCUCUGUUAUUAGGGAAGAACAUAUGUGUAAGUAACUGUGCACAUCUUGACGGUACCUAAUCAGAAAGCCACGGCUAACUACGUG
rnacentral:rRNA from 1 species